GUUUAUGUAGUUUAAUAAAAACAUUACAUUUUCACUGUAAAAAUAAAAAAUCUUUCAUAAAUA
rnacentral:tRNA from 1 species